GUUUGGUGUUAGGUUUAUGUUUAAGGGUUUGGUUUUAGGGUUUGGUUUUAGGGUUAGGUUUGGUUUUAGGGUCAGGUCUGGGUUUUUAGCGUUUGGUUUUAGGGUUAAGUGUUUGGUUUUAGGAUUAGGGUAAGGGUUUGGUGUUCGGUUUAUGUUUAAGGGUUAGGUUUUAGGGUUUGGUUUUAGAAUGAGGGUUUGGUUUUAGGGUUAGGUUUGGGUUGGGUUUUAGGGUUUGGUUUCAGGGUUAGGUUUGGUUUUAGGGUUAGGUCUGGGGUGGGUUUUAGCGUUUGGUUUUAGGGUUAAGUGUUUGGUUUUAGGAUUAGGGUAAGGGUUUGGUGUUCGGUUUAUGUUUAAGGGUUAGGUUUUAGGGUUUGGUUUCAGGGUUAGAGA
ensembl:lncRNA